GGAAUUUUGGACAAUGGGCGAAAGCCUGAUCCAGCAAUGCCGCGUGCAGGAUGAAGGCCUUCGGGUUGUAAACUGCUUUUGUACGGAACGAAAAGUCCCGGGAUAAUACCCUGGGACCAUGACGGUACCGUAAGAAUAAGCACCGGCUAACUACGUGCCAGCAGCCGCGGUAAUACGUAGGGUGCAAGCGUUAAUCGGAAUUACUGGGCGUAAAGCGUGCGCAGGCGGUUAUAUAAGACAGAUGUGAAAUCCCCGGGCUCAACCUGGGAACUGCAUUUGUGACUGUAUAGCUAGAGUACGGUAGAGGGGGAUGGAAUUCCGCGUGUAGCAGUGAAAUGCGUAGAUAUGCGGAGGAACACCGAUGGCGAAGGCAAUCCCCUGGACCUGUACUGACGCUCAUGCACGAAAGCGUGGGGAGCAAACAGGAUUAGAUACCCCUG
rnacentral:rRNA from 1 species